CUGCUCUUCACCAGAAGCAGAAUGGAUGAGAGUAUUUACACAAAUGCCAGUGCCCCAUUUAUCUGGCAGUGAAGCCCAAGAAGAGGUGCUCUUCUGCUGUCUUUUCUCUCCAGAAAUACCCUCUCUGACCCUCAGCUUUGUGCCUUCUGCUAAACAUCAGCUCCAUGGGGUCACAAAUUUGCUCAUCUUCACAUGUUUGCUGCACUCCCAGAAAAUGGGAACUUUAUGAAAACAUAUGCCAAGCCCCAGCUAUGCGCUCAUCAGCACGAGAUAAGGGAAGAAAGUCACACACUGACAGUUUCUGUGGCAAGAAGACUUCAUCAGGCGAAGAAUCUCAUUCCCUCACCAGGUGUAAUCAUACCACAGUGCUGCUGGUGACAUUUCUUCAAGAGAACCCAAAGCCUACAGAGAGUGAAAUAUCAAAAAGGUUCCACUGUGGACAGCUGAAAAAAUGUCCUCUCAAAAGAUGUCCAAGACCUGCUGUGUCUGGAUCUAACAUCUGUUUCUUCAGACUGCACCUCAUUAAUGACUUUCUCAGAGUUUGGAAGUAGGUGAGGCCAAUAAAGACUCAUAGCAAAGCAUCCAGAAUUCCUGACUUGGAACCUCCCGUGAGUUCACAAGGGGUGAUGGGGGACAGCGAGACGGACAGAUGGCCUGUUGUCUUAAUGUUCAACUUGAAUAACUAAAGUGCCUGCAAUCCCUCUUUAUCUGUGUGCUUUGCAUCUGAAAUCUACUCUGAAGUGCCC
rnacentral:lncRNA from 1 species